AUGGAUAUAGUAAGUCUCACUUGGGCUUCUUUAAUGGUAGUCUUUACAUUUCCUCUUUCACUAGUAGUAUGGGGAAGGAGCGGACUCUAGGGAUACUACUAAUUGAUUAAGUAA
rnacentral:rRNA from 1 species